rnacentral:lncRNA from 1 species
UUCAGCGAGGACAUGGCGUCUUUCAGGUCGGAUGUGGACCCAUCACCGCUGGAGAGGGCGUCUCUCAACCGCUGGAGCUUCUCCUCGACCUUCUCCCUGACAUCGGAGGGGACCUUGUCGCCCAGCUCCUUGAGCUGCUUCUCCGUCUGGUACACCACGGAGUCGGCCUGAUUCUUCGUGUCGAUAGCGUCCCUCUUCUCCUUGUCCUCCGCCGCAAACCUCUCCGCCUCGCUUACCAUUCUCUCCACCUGCAGGAGGAUGGAGCCACAAAUCAGCCGCCAACAACAGCAAUGGUGGUGAUGAUGAUGAUGAUGACGAUGAUGACGGCGACGGCUGAAGAAAGAAGACCUCAUCGGAGGGCAAGGUGCUGGCGCCGGUGAUGGUGAUGUCCUGCUU